GGAAUCUUCGGCAAUGGACGAAAGUCUGACCGAGCAACGCCGCGUGAGUGAAGAAGGUUUCGGAUCGUAAAACUCUGUUGGUAGAGAAGAACGUUGGUGAGAGUGGAAAGCUCAUCAAGUGACGGUAACUACCCAGAAAGGGACGGCUAACUACGUGCCAG
rnacentral:rRNA from 1 species